rnacentral:tRNA from 1 species
GCACCUGUCCGCUAUCCCUGCACUCCGAAGGCAGAGGUCACAGGUUCGAAUCCUGUCGGGUGCGCCA